rnacentral:rRNA from 1 species
UUAAGCGACUAAGCGUACACGGUGGAUGCCCUGGCAGUCAGAGGCGAUGAAGGACGUGCUAAUCUGCGAUAAGCGUCGGUAAGGUGAUAUGAACCGUUAUAACCGGCGAUUUCCGAAUGGGGAAACCCAGUGUGAUUCGUCACACUAUCAUUAACUGAAUCCAUAGGUUAAUGAGGCGAACCGGGGGAACUGAAACAUCUAAGUACCCCGAGGAAAAGAAAUCAACCGAGAUUCCCCCAGUAGCGGCGAGCGAACGGGGAGCAGCCCAGAGUCUGAAUCAGUGUGUGUGUUAGUGGAAGCGUCUGGAAAGGCGCGCGAUACAGGGUGACAGCCCCGUACACAAAAAUGCACAUACUGUGAGCUCGAUGAGUAGGGCGGGACACGUGGUAUCCUGUCUGAAUAUGGGGGGGACCAUCCUCCAAGGCUAAAUACUCCUGACUGACCGAUAGUGAACCAGUACCGUGAGGGAAAGGCGAAAAGAACCCCGGCGAGGGGAGUGAAAAAGAACCUGAAACCGUGUACGUACAAGCAGUGGGAGCCUCUUUUAUGGGGUGACUGCGUACCUUUUGUAUAAUGGGUCAGCGACUUAUAUUCUGUAGCAAGGUUAACCGAAUAGGGGAGCCGAAGGGAAACCGAGUCUUAACUGGGCGUUAAGUUGCAGGGUAUAGACCCGAAACCCGGUGAUCUAGCCAUGGGCAGGUUGAAGGUUGGGUAACACUAACUGGAGGACCGAACCGACUAAUGUUGAAAAAUUAGCGGAUGACUUGUGGCUGGGGGUGAAAGGCCAAUCAAACCGGGAGAUAGCUGGUUCUCCCCGAAAGCUAUUUAGGUAGCGCCUCGUGAAUUCAUCUCCGGGGGUAGAGCACUGUUUCGGCAAGGGGGUCAUCCCGACUUACCAACCCGAUGCAAACUGCGAAUACCGGAGAAUGUUAUCACGGGAGACACACGGCGGGUGCUAACGUCCGUCGUGAAGAGGGAAACAACCCAGACCGCCAGCUAAGGUCCCAAAGUCAUGGUUAAGUGGGAAACGAUGUGGGAAGGCCCAGACAGCCAGGAUGUUGGCUUAGAAGCAGCCAUCAUUUAAAGAAAGCGUAAUAGCUCACUGGUCGAGUCGGCCUGCGCGGAAGAUGUAACGGGGCUAAACCAUGCACCGAAGCUGCGGCAGCGACGCUUAUGCGUUGUUGGGUAGGGGAGCGUUCUGUAAGCCUGUGAAGGUGUGCUGUGAGGCAUGCUGGAGGUAUCAGAAGUGCGAAUGCUGACAUAAGUAACGAUAAAGCGGGUGAAAAGCCCGCUCGCCGGAAGACCAAGGGUUCCUGUCCAACGUUAAUCGGGGCAGGGUGAGUCGACCCCUAAGGCGAGGCCGAAAGGCGUAGUCGAUGGGAAACAGGUUAAUAUUCCUGUACUUGGUGUUACUGCGAAGGGGGGACGGAGAAGGCUAUGUUGGCCGGGCGACGGUUGUCCCGGUUUAAGCGUGUAGGCUGGUUUUCCAGGCAAAUCCGGAAAAUCAAGGCUGAGGCGUGAUGACGAGGCACUACGGUGCUGAAGCAACAAAUGCCCUGCUUCCAGGAAAAGCCUCUAAGCAUCAGGUAACAUCAAAUCGUACCCCAAACCGACACAGGUGGUCAGGUAGAGAAUACCAAGGCGCUUGAGAGAACUCGGGUGAAGGAACUAGGCAAAAUGGUGCCGUAACUUCGGGAGAAGGCACGCUGAUAUGUAGGUGAAGUCCCUCGCGGAUGGAGCUGAAAUCAGUCGAAGAUACCAGCUGGCUGCAACUGUUUAUUAAAAACACAGCACUGUGCAAACACGAAAGUGGACGUAUACGGUGUGACGCCUGCCCGGUGCCGGAAGGUUAAUUGAUGGGGUCAGCGCAAGCGAAGCUCUUGAUCGAAGCCCCGGUAAACGGCGGCCGUAACUAUAACGGUCCUAAGGUAGCGAAAUUCCUUGUCGGGUAAGUUCCGACCUGCACGAAUGGCGUAAUGAUGGCCAGGCUGUCUCCACCCGAGACUCAGUGAAAUUGAACUCGCUGUGAAGAUGCAGUGUACCCGCGGCAAGACGGAAAGACCCCGUGAACCUUUACUAUAGCUUGACACUGAACAUUGAGCCUUGAUGUGUAGGAUAGGUGGGAGGCUUUGAAGUGUGGACGCCAGUCUGCAUGGAGCCGACCUUGAAAUACCACCCUUUAAUGUUUGAUGUUCUAACGUUGACCCGUAAUCCGGGUUGCGGACAGUGUCUGGUGGGUAGUUUGACUGGGGCGGUCUCCUCCUAAAGAGUAACGGAGGAGCACGAAGGUUGGCUAAUCCUGGUCGGACAUCAGGAGGUUAGUGCAAUGGCAUAAGCCAGCUUGACUGCGAGCGUGACGGCGCGAGCAGGUGCGAAAGCAGGUCAUAGUGAUCCGGUGGUUCUGAAUGGAAGGGCCAUCGCUCAACGGAUAAAAGGUACUCCGGGGAUAACAGGCUGAUACCGCCCAAGAGUUCAUAUCGACGGCGGUGUUUGGCACCUCGAUGUCGGCUCAUCACAUCCUGGGGCUGAAGUAGGUCCCAAGGGUAUGGCUGUUCGCCAUUUAAAGUGGUACGCGAGCUGGGUUUAGAACGUCGUGAGACAGUUCGGUCCCUAUCUGCCGUGGGCGCUGGAGAACUGAGGGGGGCUGCUCCUAGUACGAGAGGACCGGAGUGGACGCAUCACUGGUGUUCGGGUUGUCAUGCCAAUGGCACUGCCCGGUAGCUAAAUGCGGAAGAGAUAAGUGCUGAAAGCAUCUAAGCACGAAACUUGCCCCGAGAUGAGUUCUCCCUGACCCUUUAAGGGUCCUGAAGGAACGUUGAAGACGACGACGUUGAUAGGCCGGGUGUGUAAGCGCAGCGAUGCGUUGAGCUAACCGGUACUAAUGAACCGUGAGGCUUAACCUU